rnacentral:lncRNA from 1 species
UCUUGGGUCACAACAUACUCAUUUCAGACCCUGGCUCUGCUACUCCCUUGCUGUGUGACCUGGGGAGAGCACUGAACUGCACUGUGCCUCAGUUUCCUUCUCAGUGCAAUAGUGCCCCAGCCCUGGAAAUUAAACAUCCAGUCCCACGCUGGCCACAGCGACAGGUCUAGGGAUAACUGCAGGACCCACAAGGGCCAGCCACAGUCCUUCCUCAGGAUUUUUCUAGGUGGAUUGUUCUUAAAGGUUCUAUUCCUCUUUUGACUGUGUGAGGCUGUGUCCCCAGAAAGGCAGUCUUAAAAUGUCAUGUUUGAUUCCUACAGAGAACAUAAACAAAAGUGCACAUAUUUUUUAAAGAAUAAGAUGUUAUGCUUACAUCUUAUUUUUCUCAUUAAACUUGUUUAAGUAUAAUCUGUGUUAUUCACAUAUACAAUAUAAAUUUGUUAAAAUAUGUUAGAGAGUUAUUAAAAAAAGUAAUUAAUGAGAGUGGCAGAUAUUAAUUUCUGCUGAAAAAGAUCUUAUUUUUGCCUUAAUUUUCUAUAAUUAAUGUCAUUAGUUUCCUGCACAAAGUUUUCAUGCAAAACAAAUUUAUGUAACUCUUGGCCACGAAUUGUCAAUAUUUUUCAUAAAAUUGGAAGUAUAUUGAGACAAAAUGUUCACAAAAUAAUUGGGCAGUAUCUCUUUUUCUGAGUGUUCUUAUUUUUGUUUUUAAAAUUUUAAUUGACACAUUAUAAUUGUACACAUUUAUGGGGUACAUUUUGAUAUUUUGACACAUGUAUAUGUUCAAUAGGUAUUGUUAACCUUAGACACCCUAUUGUACAACAGAAUACCAGAACUUAUUUCUCCUAUCUUAUUGUUACUUUGUACCCAUUUACCAUUCUCUCCCCAGCCUCUUUCCACCUUUUUUGAGAUGGAGUCUUGCUCUUUCACCCAGGCUGGAGUGCAAUGGUUUAUCCUUAACAUCCCAGGUGAUUCUCAUAGUGCAGGUCCUCAGACCACAACGUAGAGGAAUGUGAUGUGAAGCAGUGUCUAUGGCAAAUAACCUUUUUAUGGUAUUAUUUACAAAAAGAGCAGUUCUAAAAGCACUGUUUAAUUUUUCUUCAUAUCAUAGAUAGUAGUCAAGGAAAAAAACCAUUUAAAGACAGGUAUUUGUCCUCAAAAGUAGAACUUAAUUUUUGAACAAUAAAGUUGAGAAGGUACUAGUCAAAAAACAAAGUAAGUGCGAAUCAUUAAUGGAAAAACAACCACGUAAUGGAGAGUACUACUAUUAUAAAAAAGCUGUCUGAGAGGCAAUGAAAACAUUUAUCCCAGAGUUAAUGGGUUCAUAAGGCAGCAUUUCAAGGCCAGGGGCUCAACUUCCACAUCAAAAUGGAUGUCUAGCAGGGCGCGGUGGCUCACGCCUGUCGUCCCAGCACUUUGGGAGGCCGAGGCGGGUGGAUCACGAGGUCAGGAGAUCGAGACCACGGGGAAACCCCGUCUCUACUAAAAAUACAAAAAAAAUUAGCCGGGCGUGGUGGGGGGCGCCUGUAGUCCCAGCUACUCGGGAGGCUGAGGCAGGAGAAUGGCGUGAACCCGGGAGGCGGAGCUUGCAGGGAGCCGAGAUCGCGCCACUGCACUCCAGCCUGGACGACAGAACCAGACUCCAUCUCAAAAAAAAAAAAAAAAAAUGGAUGUCUAUACAGGUUCACUUUCUCAGUAGGAGCCAGGAGUCUGGUGGGCAAAAAUGCCACUGCAUGUCCAAGAUACUGACUGGUGGCACCAGCGCAGCCCCGCUCCCCGUGGUUAGCUUUUACCAACAGCAGAUAGGCCUGGAGUUCCUGUAUCUCGCAAUUGCACCUUAAAGAUUUUUUUUUUUAAUACAGAUAGGAGAUGAAGAUUUAAAAAAAAAAAUAAGUGUAGCAGGAAUCCAACAGGAAUAUGUCUCUUCAAAAAAGGUUGAAGCAAAACAAAAAAAAAUCAAUCUCUAUUUUUUCAUCACUUCCACCCACUUCUCAAAAUAAAAUAGGUAAAAACAGUAAGGACUUAAUUAUAACACAGCCUCCAAUGAUAUGUGCAUUGAACUCUCGUUCCAGCAAAAUUUAAACAAAACUGUUUGGUUUGCGUCUCCCUAAGUUGUUCCUUGAUAAGCCAAAAACAAGAAGUUGCUAAAAUCAAUGAGCCAGCCUAUUUUCUCUUAGAAAAUGCCACCAAAAAAGUUUAAUUUCCUUUUUAUUCAUUGGAAUUUGUAGAAAACUUCUAAAAAAUAAAAUUUAAAAUAAUUUCUCUUUUACCUGAAGUUAUUUCCUGUGUAUGUUUUUGUAUUUUUGGUCUAUUACAAGAUUGUUUUAAAUCAUAUGGAAGACAAGAUUUUGGUCUAUUUUAUAUGCUUUGGAGAUGUGGCAUGCUGGUUGGGACAAUGGUAAUAGUUUCAAGUCAGUGAUAUUCUAUAAAGUAACUGACGGAAGAAAUUAUCUUGGCGAGAAGACAUAUUUGUUCACAUUAAUGGAAUACCUGCAAUUUCAUUUUGCCUUAAGAAAUCAUGGUUGGUGAACUGAGCCACAAGACUUUUUAAAUGUUAUACUACCACUACUACUACUAAUGAUAAAGCAUGAGCUUUUAAAAGGCAUGAAAUACAAGUUGUUCACUGUUUUGGGAUAGUCCACACAAGCAGAUGGAGUCUACAAUGGCUUGGUAGCUCCCUGAACACUGUUAAACACUGGGGGCUGAGGAGAGCAAUGAGAUCUGAAGUACAGCCCAGGCUCGGCACCGUUUGUCAAGAAGUUCCCCAAGGUGUCUUUCUGAAAGGGGCACCAAGGCCUGUGUGCACGAGCAGAGGCCUAGUGAGCAGCUGCUCCUUGUAGGUCUGUGCCUGCAAGUGAAAUUCCCGCGGCCUGGAACACCCUGUCUCCUCAUCUGUCUGGGAAUGCUGACCUCUCUCUAGGUCCCGGACCAGGGUCCCAAGUCUAGCCACUGGAAUGAAUUCCAAUGCACACAGUAUGGUGGCUUCACCGGGAUCGGGCCUGCCCUUUGGCCCGCUUCCCAACUAAGCUGAGCCUCCCACUUCACCCAAGUGGGCGCACGAGUGUACCCGUGGACACACACAGAGGCACACGUGCACACACACACACACAGAAACUUAUUUUGGCUUUUGCCAAAAUACCUUCAGAAUUUUUAGGAAAAAUUAAAUGAUGCCUAUGGCUAGAAUUCCUAUCUGAACGUUCUUCUGCGGGAUUAGAUGUAAGGGGGUAAAUACACUUUAAUGUGUUUGACUCAAAUUUCCAUUCUAAAAAUAACAUCUCAAAUAGGUCUUUCAGGGCCACUCAGCUUAUUUUACUUCUUUAGAAACAGUCCGCUGUGUUAGAGUGGUCUCAAAAAAGUCCUAUUUUUAGUCAUGUGAAAGAAGACAAGGACGUGCUAAAAAUGUAAAAGGAGAAACUUGACUGUUGGCUACUGGUGGGUCACUUGGAGAAACAUGACUGUUGGCUACUGGUGGGUCACUUGGAGAAACUUGACUGUUGGCUACUGGUGGGUCACUUGGAGAAACAUGACUGUUGGCUACUGGUGGGUCACUUGGAGAAACUUGACUGUUGGCUACUGGUGGAUCACUUGGAGAAACUUGACUGUUGGCUACUGGUGGGUCACUUUAAACACCGGCCCGGGUCCCCUGGUGCUUGUUUUGUUCCCGGCAGGAAUCUAGGGAUCAGUCAGGGCCUCUCCUUUUACUAGAGCAAGAGCCAAGAAUCUGCUCUUUUCUUCUCCAUCAGACUAUCUGUGGCCUUUGACCUAUCAAUUUCUAGGCAUUUCCUCUAAAGUUCAUAUUGUACCAGACUCCAGUCUGGGAAUGAGAAGAGAAAGGAUAUACAACUCCAGAUUUAUUUGUUAUUACUGAAUAGUUUACUGGUUUCAACAGAGGGAUAGGGCUUUGUUUAAAUUUCCACUGAGCAUAAUUAAUGGUUAUUGACUGGUAAAUGAAGAACAGGUGACACUCUGGAUUAGAAGAUAAAUGAUCCUGUGUUCUGGUGUGAUAAUGGGUUAGUAAUUCACCACAAAGCCGAGGCUGAGUGCAUCCCGUCGUAAUGCUAGAUCAUGUCCAGGAGACAAAGGCCCCUGUGUGAGAAGGACGCAGCCAUCCGCCUCCUUAUACAGCUGCACACGUUGAUGUGCUCCAUUGAUUCCCUGAUGGAUGGCACAACUGAGGCAAAAGUUCACCCGUUCUCACCUUCCUGUUCACAUGCUGGACCACAUGACCCAUGACAUGGCCAGGCCACACUCUGUGAUCAAAUCGCCACCCAGCUUUGGCUUCUGACUAGAGAAACAGUGUUGAGGUUACAUGUUUUAGAGGUCAGUCUUCUCUCUUUGUCUCUCAAGGAAUGAAGGAGGAAAAAGACAGUCUUCCUGCAUUCUUUUGGUGUCCUUUGAGGAUGUGACUGACUUGUCCACUUCCUCAAAUACUUAUUUACUUUCAGUCCUGACCUGAUUACCAGUGCACAUGAAAAAAAUCUCCUGUUUUUUAAUCCAUCUCACAGAGAGGAAAGCAAAUCAGUUAAGGAAUGUGCCAGGGCUUCAGAUUCUUUAACAUAAAAAUGUCCCUUAAUUGCCAAAAAAACAGGGCAGUUUUCAAAUCAUGUCUUGCAUUCAUUUUGCUU